GAUGAACGCUAGCUACAGGCUUAACACAUGCAAGUCGAGGGGUAACGAGAGGAAAGCUUGCUUUCCUUGUCGACGACCGGCGCACGGGUGAGUAACGCGUAUCCAACCUGCCCCCAACUAGGGAAUAACCUUGCGAAAGUAAGACUAAUACCCUAUAAUUUCCUCAGAUGUCAUCUGACGAGGAAUAAAGAUUUAUCGGUUGUGGAUGGGGAUGCGUCUGAUUAGCUUGUUGGCGGGGUAACGGCCCACCAAGGCAACGAUCAGUAGGGGUUCUGAGAGGAAGGGCCCCCACAUUGGAACUGAGACACGGUCCAAACUCCUACGGGAGGCAGCAGUGAGGAAUAUUGGUCAAUGGGCGGAAGCCUGAACCAGCCAAGUAGCGUGCAGAUGACGGCCCUAUGGGUUGUAAACUGCUUUUAUACAGGAAUAAAGUUAGCCACGUGUGGUUAUUUGUAGGUACUGUAUGAAUAAGGACCGGCUAAUUCCGUGCCAGCAGCCGCAGUAA
rnacentral:rRNA from 1 species